GAUGAACGCUGGCGGCGUGCCUAAUACAUGCAAGUCGAGCGAACAGAUGAGGAGCUUGCUCCUAUGACGUUAGCGGCGGACGGGUGAGUAACACGUGGAUAACCUACCUAUAAGACUGGGAUAACUUCGGGAAACCGGAGAUAAUACCGGAUAAUAUAUUGAACCGCAUGGUUCAAUAGUGAAAGACGGUUUUGCUGUCACUUAUAGAUGGAUCCGCGCCGCAUUAGCUAGUUGGUAAGGUAACGGCUUACCAAGGCAACGAUGAGUAGCCGACCUGAGAGGGUGAACCGCCACACUGGGACUUGAACACGGUCCAGACUCCUACGGGAGGCAGCAGGAGGGAAUCUUCCGAAAAGGGCGAAAACCUUACGGAGCAACGCCGCGGGAGUGAUAAAAGUUUUCGGAUCGGUAAACUCUGUUAAUAGGGAAGAACAAAUAUUAAAGUAACUAUUCACGGCUUGACGGUACCUAAUCAGAAAGCCACGGCUAACUACGUU
rnacentral:rRNA from 1 species